rnacentral:rRNA from 1 species
AUUGAACGCUGGCGGCAGGACUAACACAUGCAAGUCGAGCGGAGCGGCGGACGGGGGAGUAAGGCCUAGGAAUCUGCCUGGUAGUGGGGGCAAACGUCCGGAAACGGGCGCUAAUAACGAAUACUAUGCGCUGAGCCUAGGUCGGAUUCGCUAGUUGGUGGGGGAAAGGCCUACCAGGGCGACGGACGGUAACUGGGCUGAGAGGAUGAUCAGUCACAUGGGAACGGAGACACGAUCCAGCUUCUUCCGGGGGGCAGCAGUGGGAAGUUUUGGAAAAGGGGCGAAAGCCGGAUCCAGCCAUGCCGCUUGGGUGAAAAAGGUCUUGGGAUGGUAAACCACUUUAAGUUGGGCGGCGUUACCAACAGAGUAAGCACCGGCUAACUUCGUGCCAGCAGCCGCGGUAAUAC